rnacentral:rRNA from 1 species
AUUGAACGCUGGCGGCAUGCCUUACGCAUGCAAGUCGAACGGCAGCACGGGAGCAAUCCUGGUGGCGAGUGGCGAACGGGUGAGUAAAGUAUCGGAACGUGCCCAGUCGUGGGGGAUAACGUAGCGAAAGUUACGCUAAUACCGCAUGCGAUCUAUGGAUGAAAGCGGGGGAUCGCAAGACCUCGCGCGAUUGGAGCGGCCGAUAUCAGAUUAGGUAGUUGGUGGGGUAAAGGCUCACCAAGCCGACGAUCUGUAGCUGGUCUGAGAGGACGACCAGCCACACUGGGACUGAGACACGGCCCAGACUCCUACGGGAGGCAGCAGUGGGGAAUUUUGGACAAUGGGCGAAAGCCUGAUCCAGCCAUGUCGCGUGCAGGAUGAAGGCCUUCGGGUUGUAAACUGCUUUUGUACGGAACGAAAAGGUUUGGCCUAAUAAGCUGAGCUCAUGACGGUACCGUAAGAAUAAGCACCGGCUAACUACGUGCCAGCCGCCGCAGUAA